UCUUAUGUACAUUCCUACAACAUAUCCUUAAUGCAUUGGAUCCCAUUAGAACUUCACAAUUAAGUGUGCUCAAGAUAGAGUAGUACUGGGAUGGGUGAUCGCCUAAGAAGUCCUAGUAUUUUUCAUGC
rfam:Picea glauca, whole genome shotgun sequence.